rnacentral:tmRNA from 1 species
AAACUUGCAAUUUCCACUGUAAAAGAUUAUAAUUGCAGGGUCGCGAAAGCGAUGAUGAUUCUGAAGUCUUUGCGGAAUAGACGUUUUGGACCCGGGGGCGGUACCCGGCAGCUCCACCAAUAAAAAUCUAUGGGGCUGACACAGUUUCGACAGGCGCAGUAAAGGCAAAAGAUUGAAUCCGACAUGGCGUCGUUAAAAGCCGUUUAAAAACUGAAUGGCGAUAGAAUCGCUGCGAACGACAAUGUUCGCCUUGCAAUGGCUGCCUAAUAUGGCGUUGAAUACGGUUGGCGAUUGUUGACCUUAUUCGUUUUAGCGAUUGCGGGGCCCGCCGGGUGCCUGGCACCAGAAAUCCCGGCA